GUUUCCCAUCGUGCUCUGUACCAAAAUCUCCAUCGUUUCCAUGAUUUGCAUCACCUCCUCUCACAGUUGUAGAUUGAUUUGCCGGCUUUCGAAAACCGACAUUUGUUCCUUUAGAAGAACAACAAAAAGAAAGAGAUUGCGUGUGUUACCAGAAAAGUUAAUUGGAAAUGCAACAUCGCGAGUCAUUUGUGGUUGUUGGGAUUUUUUUCUUCUUUGCCGCACCAGAAGGAAAGUACACCAUCAAGUGUGGAAAGGAGGAUGGAAAUUGAGGCACGCGCCUCUCGUUGCUCACGACGUGAAGAAAAGAAGGAUUUUAUUUACAACUACAUUGUUACCGGGAAGAUGUUUUCCUUACAAGAAAAUAUAUAUCUAUAUGUAAAGGAGCCAUUCACGUUAUUGCCAGGUAAAAUGAUUUAUUCAGUCUUUUAAGGUCACUGAGAUGAUAUUUUUCUAUGGCAGAAAAUUCUCGUUUGAAUCGAGAUGAAGAAGCUUUCUUUACAAAGGCAAAGAAUUACGACUUUGCUUAUACAGAAUGUGAAUCGCGAAUUGAGAAGGAGAUGCGAUCUCGACGAUUAUCUUUAAAAUGAGAACGCGAGAGCUUCGCUUUCUGGAUGGUCUUCCGGUCUUACAGUCAAGGACGAUUGAAGAACUGAAUAUAUAUCCGGACCUGAUUGGGAUAUACAAAACGAAGUCAAAAGGAGUGCCUCAGACAUAUUUUAUAAAUGCACAAAGUUUCUAUAAGAAAUGUGGAUAUAUUAUUUUCUUGAUGCAGUCAAGUUUUGCUUGUAUAUAUUACAUUUUAUAGUAAAUAACGAAGGGAAUGCCUCUGCUUCGCACGCUUUGUCGGUCAAUCUACUUUGAAUUUAUAAAAGCAAACCACUCGCAGGAGUCGGUCAAACUGGCCGGCGAACUCACUAAUACUACAUUAUAAGAAUAUUAUAGAAGAAAAUUAGAACGUCGCGCAAAGGAGCUUUACAGGUCGAAUCUUGGAACAAUAUACGAACACGAGGAAAAAGAUAUAUAUUUAGAGGAAAGUAGAUGCGCGUUUUAUUUAAAAAAAAAAUUAUUUUCACAUAUGGAUACCAAGGACGGAGAAAAUAACCGCCUAUAGGAAACACGAGUUACUUUUCCCCUGGAUUUUUUCUAUAUCAGGUUUGUGCGGAUACUAUUUCUCUCUUGAUUGCAGACUCUUGGUCCAGUUAUGUUUUAUAUGAUUAAACGUGAUCUACGCGGGGCAAUUAAAUAAAAAUGCAGUAUUGAUCGAGCAGCAAAUGCAAUUAUAAAAUUCCGCUUUCUCACCAAGAAGCUUACGGAUGAAAAUAUUUGGCAACAAUCAGGACAAUAAAAAAAUGUGACAACCAAUAGAAAUGAGAGUUCAAGUCGGUAAUACAGAAAAAAAACGGAGUUAGUUUUAUAAACUGAUGCAAUAUGUCACCACUGGAUAUUUCUUUUUCCCGCCAAUAACGUUUGAAAAUUUUCGGAAUUGCUAUUAUUUUAACUACAUUUUUCUUCUAAAUAUAUGAUUUUGGUGGCACAGGUUCAAUUUUCACAGCCGUCGUUGUUGCAUGAAGAGAAGUCGAUACCUCGGCAACUUGACAAGGAACGGAAGCCAAGGGUUCUCUUUUUACUAAACUGUUCAAAUUGGAGCUAUCAGUG